rnacentral:rRNA from 1 species
GAUGAACGCUGGCGGCGUGCCUAAUACAUGCAAGUCGAGCGAACAGACGAGGAGCUUGCUCCUCUGACGUUAGCGGCGGACGGGUGAGUAACACGUGGAUAACCUACCUAUAAGACUGGGAUAAUUUCGGGAAACCGGAGCUAAUACCGGAUAUUAUAUUGAACCGCAUGGUUCAAUAGUGAAAGACGGUUUUGCUGUCACUUAUAGAUGGAUCCGCGCCGCAUUAGCUAGUUGGUAAGGUAACGGCUUACCAAGGCAACGAUGCGUAGCCGACCUGAGAGGGUGAUCGGCCACACUGGAACUGAGACACGGUCCAGACUCCUACGGGAGGCAGCAGUAGGGAAUCUUCCGCAAUGGGCGAAAGCCUGACGGAGCAACGCCGCGUGAGUGAUGAAGGUCUUCGGAUCGUAAAACUCUGUUAUUAGGGAAGAACAAAUGUGUAAGUAACUAUGCACGUCUUGACGGUACCUAAUCAGAAAGCCACGGCUAACUACGUG